AUAUAAUACAUUAAAUAUGUAAAAGCUCAUAAGGAUCUUACACCCAAAAAUGAAUACGAUGCGUUGACUAGAUGUAAAAAAUCAUUGUCACCCAGUAAAUUAAAUAGAGCAAUUGAGAUUUGUUCUGAUCCUGACCUCUAUCAAAAAGCACAGAAGGCACAAAAAUGUACCGAACAAGUUGGAAUUUUCAAAAGAUUGGUGUGACGACUGUGAAUGAGGAAGACAGACUUAAACUGAAAGAAUGUCUUGCAUAAGAAUAGUGAUUGGCGAUAUUAUCGGUAUCGAUAAAUAUCAUCGAUAUUUUUGUGUCGACUUAUCAUCGAUAUAAUAAAAAAUACUCGUUGAAUAGGAUAAGCUAACUCGCUUAAUUGUAAGCUUGAAACCUCAU